UCAAAAACAUGUCUUUAUGUGUAAUAUAAAGUCAUGCCUGCACACUGAGUAAUUAAAGAGCUGCAGUAUCUUGACUGUACUAAGGUAGCAUAAUAUAUUGUUUUUUAAUUAGAAACUUGGAUGAAAGGUUUGAUGUUUACAAACUUUCUUUUGAAUAAAAUAAAGUUAAAUUUUUAGUUAAAAUUCUAAGAUGAGUUUAAAAGACGAUAAGACCCUAUAAAAUUUGUUCACGUUUUCGGGGAUUAGAUCUGCUGAGUAUUAAUGAAUUAAUUGGGGCGAUUUUUAUAAAAUAAGCAUCUGUAAAUAAAUCAAACACUCAUCAGUGUAAUUAUUGACCCUAGGGGAACAUAAAAUGAAAUUACUUUAGGGAUAACAGCGUAAUUUUUUUUAGAGUUCUUAUCAAAGGAAAAGUUUGCGACCUCGAUGUUGAAUUAAGGAGUCUUUUAGGUGUAGAAGCUGUGGGAGAGAGUCUGUUCGACUUUUAAUUUCUUACAUGAUCUGA
rnacentral:rRNA from 1 species